rnacentral:lncRNA from 1 species
GGCUCACUCACGUGGCUCUGGUUGCGGUCAGGAGAGACAGACCCCUUUCCCUCCGAUGUCUUAUUCACUUCUGCUUCCUCAUUUCAACAGGAAUCCCUUCAUUUUCUGGUUAUUCUAAAGCAUUUCUAGUACCAAGAGUUUCACAGAACACAGCCUCUUUCUCCUCAUGCACCAAGGUCACCCUCAUAGAUCAGGUCACCUCUUCAAAGGAGCAACAGUCACCCCACCAGCUACUCAACCUCUCGGGAUUUACCUAUGCAUCGGUUCGCUGUUUGACCCUCGUGCGUGGGGUCUGGCUUGGCCAGGUUGGAAGAGAGAGGUCAAAGGCACAGGUAGGAGAACCAGAUCUUGAACACACAUUCUCCAUGGUUCUUUCCAGAGCUCAGAGCUCAGGUAUCUUGGCCACAGGUCCCUGUGAGCAGUGAUGUUACUGGACACACGGGUGCUGGGAUUCAGGAACCCUAUGUUGCCAAGGGAGGGGAUUUCUAGGAAUUGCUAGGGUACGGUUAUUUUUCAGCUGUGAGGGUAGGGAGGAGUUGUGAAGGGUAUUUCCCGUGGGCCAGCCCUUCAUUCCCCUUUUCCCUCGGGUCUAUAAAUGGUU